UUGUUUAUAUACAUUGUUAUUUUAUAUGAUUGUAGGACUAACGUUUAUUUAUUAUUGUUGCUAUUGCUCAUAUCAUUUUAUACUUUUGUAUUCAUUAUGAUUUUGCCAUGAAUAACAACAAUGCAAAUUGCUUUCACAUUUUUUUACUAUGAUUUUAGUGUUUUAUUUUACUCGACAUAACAUAAUUUGUUUUGAAUAAAUAAUAUUUCGUGUUUAGAUUCGAG
rnacentral:lncRNA from 1 species